CGGGGCGUGGCUCAGCCUGGUAGAGCACCGCGUUCGGGACGCGGGGGUCGGAGGUUCGAAUCCUCUCGCCCCGA
rfam:Deltaproteobacteria bacterium GWB2_55_19 gwb2_scaffold_113, whole genome shotgun sequence.